rnacentral:rRNA from 1 species
AUUGAACGCUGGCGGCAGGCCUAACACAUGCAAGUCGAACGAGUGGCGGACGGGUGAGUAAUGUAUGGGAAACUGCCCGAUGGAGGGGGAUAACUACUGGAAACGGUAGCUAAUACCGCAUACUAUCAGAUGUGCCCAUAUGGGAUUAGCUAGUUGGUGGGGUAACGGCUCACCAAGGCGACGAUCUCUAGCUGGUCUGAGAGGAUGACCAGCCACACUGGAACUGAGACACGGUCCAGACUCCUACGGGAGGCAGCAGUGGGGAAUAUUGCACAAUGGGCGCAAGCCUGAUGCAGCCAUGCCGCGUGUAUGAAGAAGGCCUUAGGGUUGUAAAGUACUUUCAGCGGGGAGGCGUUACCCGCAGAAGAAGCACCGGCUAACUCCGUGCCAGCAGCCGCGGUAAUAC